AAGAUGGCAGCAGAUGUUAGCGCGACAACAGUAGGACGAGACGCUAUUUAGACACAAAUUCGAUUCCCAGAACUGUCACUUAUUUAAACGAAGAAAGUAAUGUGAGUUUUAACAUUUUUGUCGUUUGAAAAAAAAAAAAAACAGGCUGUUUUCAAAGAGAUAAUGCGGACCAAAACACAUAUUUUGACAAACUGCCUGCGGGGACUUGUGACGUCACAGCUCGCUAAUGUUGGCCCGAGUUCCUAGUUCUUGUCUGAAAAGAACUGAACGCCUUGCGGUGCCGAUCGAUUGAAGUGAUCGAUCAGGAGCAUCGUGUGUGCGCACGUCAAAGUGUGCGGCCCUCAGUGGAUAAAGUCUGGACACCCCAGUUGUAGGGUGUACCCCGCCUUCCGCCCCGAAUGCAGCUGAGAUAGGCUCCAGCGUUCACUGCGACCCCAAAAGGGACAAGCGAUGUUUGCGCACACCUUUGUUUUUAGUUUCUUCUUAACCCUGGACGUGCAUUGAAGAUACACGCAACCCUGACUCAAAAUGACGGACAUUUGAGGCAUUUAAGAAACCCCGCCUGGACCACCCCGCAAAAGAGGACUUAUGGUCAGUCUGUGUAUUACUAUUUUGCACUGAAGGUUUUCUUUCUCCCCUGUAGGCAUCGAAACCAGCGGAGGUGUCCACCACAUAUUGUGUGUAUGUGCCUUCUGAUCACUCAUUGCAGCUACCAGUAAAGAACCACAUCAUCCAAUCCAGCAUGUCUGUGGAUUCUUGGCGGGACAGGUACACAGCAAGGCGGCGGCGGGCGUUGGCAAACCAGGUGGAGACCUGCGUCAGGCUCAUCUUGGUGAUGAUGGCCAGCAUGACCUUCUCACCUUUAGUGGGGUAAGGGUUCUUCAGGUGCUCGCUGAGCCACGCCUUCAGCGCCCCUGUACUCUCGCGGGUGGCCACCUUGGCACCCCCGCGUCCAGGGUCCUCGGCCGUGCCAGCCCGGUAGGGCGAGAAGAAGGGACCCCCGCGUGCCAAAAGAGCGUGGUGGUGGUAGGGGGAGGUCUUCAGGUCGAAGCCAUUGCCCUGAAACCAGAAAGAAACGUCAACAUUUCCACAAAUUCAAUCUAAAGUAUUUUAUUGGUCGUCAACUAUUUGUUGUUUUACCUUUUUUACUUUUCUUAAGUGUCUUUUUUUUUCCGAUAACAUCUUAUUUUAUUAUACAUGUGCUAAUUUUAUUUUAUAUUGAAUGUACUGUAAUAUUUUGUUUGUUUAUUGAAGUACAUAUUUUAAUGUAAAUAUAUUUUAUAUUUAUAAAGUUAACUGAUAUUUUC